rnacentral:rRNA from 1 species
UGGGGAAUUUUGGACAAUGGGCGAAAGCCUGAUCCAGCAAUGCCGCGUGUGUGAAGAAGGCCUUCGGGUUGUAAAGCACUUUUGUCCGGAAAGAAAUCCUUGGCUCUAAUACAGUCGGGGGAUGACGGUACCGGAAGAAUAAGCACCGGCUAACUACGUGCCAGCAGCCGCGGUAAUACGUAGGGUGCAAGCGUUAAUCGGAAUUACUGGGCGUAAAGCGUGCGCAGGCGGUUUGCUAAGACCGAUGUGAAAUCCCCGGGCUCAACCUGGGAACUGCAUUGGUGACUGGCAGGCUAGAGUAUGGCAGAGGGGGGUAGAAUUCCACGUGUAGCAGUGAAAUGCGUAGAGAUGUGGAGGAAUACCGAUGGCGAAGGCAGCCCCCUGGGCCAAAUACUGACGCUCAUGCACGAAAGCGUGGGGGAGCAAACAGGAUUAGAUACCCUGGUAGUCCACGCCCUAAACGAUGUCAACUAGUUGUUGGGGAUUCAUUUCCUUAGUAACGUAGCUAACGCGUGAAGUUGACCGCCUGGGGAGUACGGUCGCAAGAUUAAAACU